CGUCGACUCCGAGUCGCCCAGCGGGGCGACUCGGACCUACAAAAAAGUCGACUCCGAGUCGCCCAGCGGGGCGACUCGGAGUCGAGU
rnacentral:pre_miRNA from 1 species